GCCCAUCAGUUGGCAUUCUACGAAAAUAUGGAGCCGUCGUGAGCUUGCAUCACCUUGUGCAAGAGCUAUGGCUAUGCUGAGCUUCUCCACAUAUUUCCAACUUUAGUACAUGGGCAGGUGAGGCAAGCACCACUCUUACCUUCGAAUACCACACACACACACCACACACACAUAUCACAUAAUACACACCCCACAUACCACACACACAACAUAACACACCACAUAACACACAUGCUACAUAUGACAUCAUACAUCAUACACACCACACACACACCAAAUACACCACAUGCCACACAACUUACAUACCACAUCAUACACACCAUACACACGACACACAGCACAUAACACACCACAUGCCAUACAUCCUACAUACAUCAUACACACCAUACACACACAUCAAAUACCACACCACAUGCCACACAACCUACACACCACAUCAUACACAGCAUACACACGCAUGACACAUAGCACAUAACACACCACAUGCCACACAACCUACAUACCACAUCCUACACACCACACACACACACCACACACACCCCAUAACAUACCACAUCACAUACCACACACACCAUAUACCACAUCAUAUACACCACACACAAACCACACACACAAACACAAACACCACACACACCACGCACACCUACACCCACAGACACUGUACACCAUACACCACACUGUACACACCACACACCACACCACACCAGACACCACACAUACAGCACACACACAAACACACCACACACACUGCACUAUAUACCACACACACUCCAAACCCCACACGCAUUACACAUCACACCACACACACACACACCAGAUAACAUACCACACACUACAUACCACAUGUACCACACACAACACACAUCCUACAUACCACACACAGCACAUACCACAUACCACACCACAUACCACACAUUCCACAUACGACAUCAUACACACCACACACACUGCACAUAUUAUACCAACACAUCCCACAUACCAUAUCAUAUACACCACACACAAACCACACACACAAAUGCAAACACCACAUACACCAUACAUACCCACACACACAAACACUGUAUACCAUACACCACACUGUACACACCACACACACACACACCAUACACACACAAACACACACACACACAAACUUCUGUUGAGGCUGUGCCCCCACCACUUGGAGCCACUACAUCUCCCUACCUCAACUUCUUUCCACUUGGUAGUCCUGUCUUCUGAAGUUAGUAAAUGCAGGCGUGAGGCAGGGAGGCGCUUUGGCUGAUCGGCAGAACCCUGGGAUGAGCCACGGCAUGGCUGUGUGGCACGUGUGGUGUGGGUGUGGGUAGGGGGAUCCCGCCACGCGUCCUUCCCACCCUGGGUCCUGU
rnacentral:lncRNA from 1 species